rnacentral:rRNA from 1 species
UACGUAGGGGGCUAGCGUUAUCCGGAAUUACUGGGCGUAAAGGGUGCGUAGGUGGUUUCUUAAGUCAGAGGUGAAAGGCUACGGCUCAACCGUAGUAAGCCUUUGAAACUGGGAAACUUGAGUGCAGGAGAGGAGAGUGGAAUUCCUAGUGUAGCGGUGAAGUGCGUAGAUAUUAGGAGGAACACCAGUUGCGAAGGCGGCUCUCUGGACUGUAACUGACACUGAGGCACGAAAGCGUGGGGAGCAAACAGG